UUCGUUCAGAAAGUUUCUUGUUUCCUUCGCUGCAAUGGCUGCUACUGAUUCUGCCCCAGCGGUUGACCCCGUCCCUGCCCCAGAGCCAGUGGAGGAUGUCAAGGCGGACGACAAGCCUGCGAAGGUGACUAAGGAGAAAAAGACCAAGUCUCCUAAGGAGAAGAAGGCGAAAAUGGCGAAGUCUCCGAAGGCACCUGCGUCGCACCCAUCAUAUCUCUUGAUGGUAGUUGAGGCCAUCGGUGCUUUGAAGGAGCGGACCGGAUCCAGCCAGUAUGCCAUUGCUAAAUAUUUGGAAGACCAUUAUAAGACCGGUCUUCCUCCGAACUUCAAGAAGACGCUGUCCAUCCAGUUACGUAAUUUGACGAAGGCCGGCAAGCUGGUGAAGGUGAAGAACUCGUUUAAACUCGCGGAUGAGUUGAAGAAACCUGCGAAGGCUGCAGCGAAGGCUCCAAGCGCCGCCAAAGCUCCCGCGAAGGCAAAAGUUACCAAGAAACCUGCUGCUGGCCGCGUGAAGACCAAAAGUGCCGGGGGAGCUGCAUCGAAGGCCAAGGUCUCCAGUGCGAAGCCCGUCAAGGUCGCAAAGGUAUCCAAGACGUCGAAGCCAGAUGCGAAGACAACCAAAGCUGUCAAGGCCAAACCACUUCCCCGCAAAACCACUUCGCCAGCGCCGAAGAAGGCCAAAGCGAAGCUAUCCGCACCAGCAAAGAAGUUAGCAGCAGCUCCAGCACCUGCGAAGAAGCCCGUGACAGGAAGAAAACCCCCGAUGGUCAGGAAGAUGACUACGCCAAAGAAGGCCCCGAAGUCGGUGAAGACCACGAAAUCGCCGAAGGUUACGAAACCUGCAACCAAGGCGAAGACGACUAAAGCUUCAGGGUCACCCGCAAAGAAAGCAAAGAAGUGAGAUCUCAACUCUUACCACAACUAAACUGGUGUUUCUGAACACCACCCUUCCGAAGAAUGAAUUGAUUCUAUUUACACCAGGAUGGGAUGCGUAGUUCAAUGCAUGGUAAGGAUGUACUUGGCUGCAAUGCCUCGCUUUUCCUCACUUGUCUAUAUGGUCUCGCGCAACGUUGUUGAACAAUGUCAACAUCAAUGGCGCUGCUUCGGAGGUAUAUAUCAGUGGUGGUUUGCAGGUAUCGAGAUUGAGAUUGCGAACGUGCCCUCUAUGGCAUGACAACUUCGGCAAUGAAGCGCUGCUUGUCGUGAAGACUUGCCAGGUUUAUCUUGGGAUUUCAGUCACACAUGACUCGUAAGAGUCUUUGGCACUACAUUGUCGGUCUCAAGCAAAUCAUCUCUGCAUUAUCUGACUGGAAGAGAAGGACUACUGCGCAACUUUCCAUGAAUUUCGAUGUACUGCAAGAGCGUGCAACACUGCAUACUUCAGACCUCUGCACCUCCCUCAAGGUCCAUGCUUGACUCCUGACUCGUCAAGACUGUGUACCCCGAAAAGCGUCACUUCGACCUCGUGCUGGAAUCCCGAGAGCAGUGCUUAAGCAUCGACUUGGUUACGAGAAGCACGGUCUCUUAUCCACCUGUCUACUGAAGAUAUGGGUGGUUGAUGACAAAGCUCUAGCGUGUCGAACAUGCGGCCGCCGCAGGCAGUGGAGAUCGUCCUCAGUACGCAGUACACCACGCAAGGAGACCUUCUUUUCGGGGCAAGAGAGUGAGAAGACCCUCGGGAGAAGCCGUCCAAUCCUUUCCAACUCGAACGGAGGGCGAAGUGCUGCAGAAGUGAACGGGGGAGCUUGAUUGACCACUCAGCGCGAGAUCCGACGAUAACCCCGCGCCCAAGAAUCUUGGACUAGGACACCGCACCGAGCGAGCAACAGAUGGGCACGGGAAAACCGCAGCAGCAGAGAAGUGGAACGCUCUUCGAUGCGAUGCAUUGGAAGCGAUGACAGAGCCACGACGAAUUGACGACGAUGACGACGACAACGCCGACGAGGUGGACGAAUCGUUGCUGUGCCAGUGAAUUUCAUGUCCACAUUAUCGUGGAAUCUGCUCAUGAACAGACCAUUUGUCGAUUCUCCGACGCUACUUUCGUCACUCAGCUUCUUCAUCCCCUCCCACCCUUGGACGAGUAUCGCGGAUAGAUGAGUAUUGGAUGGAUGAAUUUCCGUACGACUGUAUUUGUUUGUUUGUUUGUUUGUUUAUUUAUUUAUUUAUUUAUUUAUUUAUGUUGCGCUCUCUAUUCAAAUGAAA